CGCUUUUACUUUUUGGAAGUUAGAGCUAUGUCGACACUGCCGUUUCAGGGCGGGGUCAUUUUCGGGACUUUCGUCCCGGAUUCAGGUUUUCGCACAUAUGCCAUGUUGAUCGCCAUGGUCAUUUUACCCUAAAACAGUUGAGAUUACCUGUCCUAAAUGAAUCGCAUACAAACUCAUAUACAGGUCCUAGACUACAUAGAGAAUAACAACAGUACAGUGUC